rnacentral:rRNA from 1 species
CUGCUGCCUUCCGUAGGAGUCUGGACCGUGUCUCAGUUCCAGUGUGGCUGGUCAUCCUCUCAGACCAGCUAGGGAUCGUCGCCUAGGUGAGCCGUUACCCCACCUACUAGCUAAUCCCAUCUGGGCACAUCCGAUGGCAAGAGGCCCGAAGGUCCCCCUCUUUGGUCUUGCGACGUUAUGCGGUAUUAGCUACCGUUUCCAGUAGUUAUCCCCCUCCAUCAGGCGGUUUCCCAGACAUUACUCACCCGUCCGCCA